rnacentral:rRNA from 1 species
UUGAACGCUGGCGGCAGGCCUAACACAUGCAAGUCGAGCGGCAGCGGAAAGUAGCUUGCUACUUUGCCGGCGAGCGGCGGACGGGUGAGUAAUGUCUGGGAAACUGCCUGAUGGAGGGGGAUAACUACUGGAAACGGUAGCUAAUACCGCAUAACGUCGCAAGACCAAAGAGGGGGACCUUCGGGCCUCUUGCCAUCAGAUGUGCCCAGAUGGGAUUAGCUAGUAGGUGGGGUAACGGCUCACCUAGGCGACGAUCCCUAGCUGGUCUGAGAGGAUGACCAGCCACACUGGAACUGAGACACGGUCCAGACUCCUACGGGAGGCAGCAGUGGGGAAUAUUGCACAAUGGGCGCAAGCCUGAUGCAGCCAUGCCGCGUGUAUGAAGAAGGCCUUCGGGUUGUAAAGUACUUUCAGCGGGGAGGAAGGUGUUGAGGUUAAUAACCUCAGCAAUUGACGUUACCCGCAGAAGAAGCACCGGCUAACUCCGUGCCAGCAGCCGCGGUAAUACGGAGGGUGCAAGCGUUAAUCGGAAUUACUGGGCGUAAAGCGCACGCAGGCGGUCUGUCAAGUCGGAUGUGAAAUCCCCGGGCUCAACCUGGGAACUGCAUUCGAAACUGGCAGGCUAGAGUCUUGUAGAGGGGGGUAGAAUUCCAGGUGUAGCGGUGAAAUGCGUAGAGAUCUGGAGGAAUACCGGUGGCGAAGGCGGCCCCCUGGACAAAGACUG